CGACCAUGUUUAAUACACGUUUACGUUCUACGGAUUUAUGUAAUAUAUCCCUUACUGAACGAAGUCUUUGACUUACAGUUAUCACCGUGGUACUUUUCCUCUCACCUUCUUAGGUUUCUUUUAUGACGGAAGGUCUCAAUUAGAAAGAGGUUCACUUUUCUUGGUCGUACGUAACAGUGGAUUUCUUUUUGUCCUAGGUGAAACAUCUUUUCUUAAGUACGGUACACUUUCUUAGAUUCUCAACUGCGAUACCAACCACCUGGAAGGUAUUGUCUCUCUGAACGGUACCCAUAACGAAUGACGUAAUACGUCAAAGUUGUAUUUUCUAUUGGUUCUUCCGUAAUCAUGCCUCAAUUUUCAUCUUUUAUUCACAAUGAACGAGUUCGGUACACUACGUUGUACUGGUUUUUUACAAUAGAUCGUCUGCCUUCGUAGAGUCUCCUUUUGUAUACCAUUACUUAGCUUGUACGAAUGUAACAGCUACGGGGUCUCUUUAUUGCUAACCUGACUUAGUAUAGUAUGUAGUCAACAUUCUUCUCUUACGAAGAGACUAUUCCUGGAGAAAGAACUUUCAGAGUCGUACGGUGUUCUGUGUUAUGGAUCAAAACAAGACUAAGAUUUGUAGGAAACAUUAGUCUCUCAUCGACGUUGUGGACCACAAUUUGUACAGCGAUGGUGACAGGACAGCUCAGUCGCUGUAAGUCCAAAUUAGUUAUUAAGUAGAUGUCAUGUGUUGUGACAAUUGUUUAUUCUUUAUAUUUACCGGUAUAAGGUAACGCGGUAGACUCCUUAUUAUUACCGAAACUUGAUCGAACCUUUACCGUGGUCACAUUGUGUCAUACCGUAGUCACAUGACGUGGGAAGAGGUCGUUAGGUAAUGAUAUCUCACAUCGCUACAUCACAUGACGUGGAAGAAUUCGUUGGACAGUCCACAUUAACUAUUAUACUUUCCUUUCAUGAACUCGUAAAUUGUUGUAGUCCAACCUAGGUUGAUACGAAUGACCUCUUACUGUAAUCACAUUAUUCAAAAGGAAAAUUUACCACGUUAUGUGAUUUUUCGUUAGAUAAGUACACAUUGACUACAUGUGAUGUGAACUCGACAGUUGUUGAUUGGGUGCUGAUAUGAACAACCUCUUACCGUUGAGAGUAAAAUUUAGAUUUUAUCAUACUUUCCCUUUACAAAUUCAUAAACUGUUGUCGAUCUUCUUCUUUUUAUUUAUUUAUUUAAGUAACCAUGGGCUCGUUGGUAAGUCCUUAAUUAUCUUGAUGGGAUCUAUAGGCUGAACUCGGGGUGUAUUCUAAUCGCACCUAAAAUACUUUACAAUGGCAUCCGUGCUACCAGAUUUGAACUGUGGGAGAUUUAUAUUGUAAUUGCCCUGGAGGACACUCUUAACAUGAGGUUGGUAGUACCCUUCCGUUACUUCUUAAAUCAUGUCUUCUAAUUUACAUCGGAGGAUGUUUUACAAAAGAUCAUCACUACUAUAUACAAUAUGUUGAAACUUUAUUACAGUAAACUAAGUGGAGAAUAUGUAGAAAGCUUAAAGAAAUAGAACUUUAGUUUAUACUUGAUACGACUAAGUAAAAAUACUUAAUUAUAUCUUUCUGUAUGUAUCCAAUCUCCUUUGCCCUCUAAUAAAUACUUAGUAAUUGUACAACGGUCUUAAUCAUAAGUACGUUUAUAACCGGGACUAAAAAAAGAAACAUAUAACUGACGAGUAGAGAAGAAGACCCUGCUACAGUGAACUAUAUGAAGUAGCACUAUAAAUCGUCACUUCUCGUCGUUCGUCGUGAAUAAAGAGCACCAUCAAAAGCAUAAAAACUAUCUCCUCUUUAUCCUGUCUCCUCUCGGCUCAUCUCCUCCCCGGUACCCUCCUGGGGAUUUAAUCCCCUUUUCUACGAUCUAGUUAGACUGGAGGAA
rnacentral:rRNA from 1 species